CUUCCUGGUGGGAGCUUGAGGGCCAGAUUAAUACAUCUGGAAGGUGGAUGCAGCCCCUGAGCUGUAGUUUGCCCACCCCUUUCUUGAGGGCAGCAGUUGUCCUUUAUGGUGGUUACAUAGCGCCUAGCACAAUAGCAUUAUGACCUGGCUAAAGCUGCUAGGUGCUGUUACAAUAUAAAUGAUAACUCUAAACUAGAUGCUAAUAAAAA